GGAGGACAAGCUGAAAAUGUCACACUCCCAUCAUAGUCUCUCACAAAUAUUGACAGUGCAAUCCUCAUUAUUGUCACGGGUGCAAUGCUG